GACGAACGCUGGCGGCGUGCUUAACACAUGCAAGUCGAACGGAAAGGCCCUGCUUUUGUGUGGUGCUCGAGUGGCGAACGGGUGAGUAACACGUGAGUAACCUGCCCUUGACUUUGGGAUAACUUCAGGAAACUGGGGCUACUACCGGAUAGGAGCUCCUGCUGCAUGGUGGGGGUUGGAAAGUUUCGGCGGUUGGGGAUGGACUCGCGGCUUAUCAGCUUGUUGGUGGGGUAGUGGCUUACCAAGGCUUUGACGGGUAGCCGGCCUGAGAGGGUGACCGGCCACAUUGGGACUGAGAUACGGCCCAGACUCCUACGGGAGGCAGCAGUGGGGAAUAUUGCACAAUGGGCGGAAGCCUGAUGCAGCAACGCCGCGUGCGGGAUGACGGCCUUCGGGUUGUAAACCGCUUUCGCCUGUGACGAAGCGUGAGUGACGGUAAUGGGUAAAGAAGCACCGGCUAACUACGUG
rnacentral:rRNA from 1 species